CUCUGGUGUGCCUGAGGAUGUCAUGGAGCUGACAGUGACUUCACAGCUCCCUUAGUGACAGCAGCAGAUGCCUGAUCUGCAUCUCCAGGGGGUGGUGUAAGGAUGUGCUUGGCUCAGAUCCCAGCAUGCUGAAUGCCAUAAGACUCGCACUGCAUGACUGGCCGUGCUUUGGCUCUUGCCUCCUCACAUUCCUGGUGGUGUGGACUGCCCUGUGUUGUAUCAGCUUCUCUGAAAAAUGUUACCAGCAGGUCUCUGUGAGGAGCCAGCACAGGGCAGGGUGCACGAACACACAGAAAUCAGGUGGCAAGGUGAACACAAACCUAAGUAAGCUUGGUCUGCUCUACCUGGAUGGCAUGCCACUGUGCCAGUUCUUGUGUUAUAACCCUAAGUGCAAGCACUGCUACCAGGCCAUCAGGAAGAGGCUAUUACGGAACAAUGACAAAUGGGCCAGAAUGAGGGCCUCCUACAAUCUGCACUCCUCUUCAUCUUCAAACUCCAUCACCUCCUGCAGGGAUGUGAACACAGACAGUUCAUCCCAUUCCUCGGCCAGGAGGAAUUCGGCCACCCAAACUUACCUAACCUCUUUUGAACUCUCAUGUCAGCCAGAGACAAAGUUAAGAAAACAGAGGAAACUUCAUCUCAAGCACACAACAAUAAACCAAAAAAUACUGGCAAUUCUGGGACCAGAUGGCACAAUCACCUUUGAUCCUGGACUUCUCAGCCAGGCCAGCCAACUUACUGAUACAGAUCCCGUGCAGCCAAUGAGUGAUGUUUGCCACAAGACCAGAUCACUCCCUGUUACGGUUUCCACUUCUAAUAAGCGUGGCAAUCUUCCCCCUGGCAUGGAUUCUCAUUGUGUGUCAAGGCUAGAACAAGAACUGGACUUCUGGAAGCUUCUGAAAAUGCAUAUGCUGAGGAAGUCCAUAGAGACCAAGCUGAGGGCCUUCCCCACCAUUGUGCAGCAGUCACACAGGAUGUACACACAGAGGAUAGCAGUCCGCACAGCUCGCACACCACACCACUCCAGCACUGCCCCCAUUUUCUUCUGUUCACUGGAGGCUCUGUUCCUGAAGGAAGAAGUGCAGGAGGCCCUGGAGCUCCACAUCCGUGAGAAGAAACUGCACCACAAGUGGGGCUUGCCUGGGAGCUUGCUGACAAAGCCUCAGGUACAGCAAGCAUCCCCAUGACUGCAGUAUGCAGCACUCCACAUCCAUUCCCACUUUUGGCGUCUGGGUCUGAGUACUUGGUAAGGUGUCCGAUAGAAACCAACUCCUGCUGCCUGCAGUGUUAAAGUAGAGGCUUCCCUGACUUUUCCUAUUCCUAUUAAAAAUAUUAAAGUCAUUCUUCUCAUAUGUGGGUGUUUAUUACAGGCCACCAGCCUAGGAUGAGAAAGCUGAUGAGGCCUUCUACACAUAGCUGAAAUUAGCCUCACAAUUACAGGCAUUAUUUCUCAUAAGGGACUUAAACCAUCCUGGAUUUGUUGGACAUGUUCCAGACAUACACAGUCUAGGAGACUCCUGCAAUUUGUUGAAGGUAACUUUCUCACACAGGUUGUAGAGGAGGUAGAGCAGUAAGGAAAGAUGUGCUGCUGGACCUUGUUCUUCCAAACAACAAAGGACUGGUCAGAGCUGGUGAAGUCUGGGAUGCACUGAUCUCAAGAUAGUGGAGUUGAGUUCAAGGUCUUGUAUGGAAGAAGCAAGGCAAUGAGUAGGACUGAAGCCCUGGACUUCAAGAGAGCCAACUUUGUCCUGUUCAGUGACCAGGUUAGAGGUAUUCCAUGGGCUAGAAAGUUGGAAGAAAAGGUGACCUAUGAGUGCUGGUCAAAAUUGAUGAAUCGCUUCUGCUAUGCUUAGAAUUUGUGCAUCUCUAAGGGUAAGAAGUUGAGCACAAAGUGUAAUAAUGAGCAAGAGACUCAUGCAUGAACUCAAAGAAAAGAAGAAAGUUAACGAAACGUGAAAAAAAGGUCCAUUCACUAUGGGAGAAAAUUGGAAUGUUCUCAGGCCUGCAGGGAUGCAACCAGGAAGCUUAAGGCUCACUUAGAAAUAAAUCUGGC
ensembl:lncRNA uncharacterized LOC107306139